CGCAUGGAUACAUUUGUGAGAGAAAAACUCGUCUAGUGCAGUCUUAUUGAGGCGUCUAACGGUUGGAACAAACAUGGAAUUCCUUAACUGAGCAGAGUCCACAAAGCCAAUUGUCGUGGAGAUUUAAAAAUGACAGCAGAUCUCUCAGGCAUUGAUCAUAAUCAAUGGACAGGUCACCGUAGCCACCCGUAUCCAGUACACAUCCAGAUCAGAUGGUGGAUCAGC